rnacentral:rRNA from 1 species
CCCUUGGAUGUUCUGGGCCGCACGCGCGCUACACUGAUACAUGCAACGAGUUUAUAACCUUGAUCUGACGGUCUGGGUAAUCUUCAAACUGUAUCGUGUUAGGGAUCGAUUCUUGCAAUUUUUAAUCGUAAACGAGGAAUUCCUAGUAAACGCAAGUCAUCAGCUUGCAUUGAUUACGUCCCUGCCCUUUGUACACACCGCCCGUCGACUCUACCGAUUGAAUGGUUCGGUGAAAACUUUGGACUGUGGCAUUGUCCUUCAUUGGACUUCGCCGUAGGAAAUUGUUUAAACCUCAUCAUUUAGAGGAAGAAUAAGUCGUAACA